UUAGGAAUCCACCUUCAUAUUCUGCAACUUAGGGACUAAAUGGGAAAGAUAACCACUGCCAGCAUUUCUAAUGUAACUAAUAAGGGAAAGGAAGAGGGAAGAGAAAGAUGCAAGAACACUCAAGUAGAUGCACCACCAUGUUUCUACGUAUCAGCUACUUUUGGAUGAUGAUGCAUAUAAUAAGAUCUCUGGAUCUAAAGAGGAUUUAGGAUGGAGGGCCUGGUUGUCACAAAAUAUUCCGCUAAAGAAUUUACAAUUCAGUUGAGAGCAUCUCCUGUCAGAUCCACAUUAGCUGUAAGAGAGUUCACCCGGCUGGAUGUUACUGCAAAGAACAUCAGGAGAAUGAAUAAGGGAUCCAGGGCUGCUGGGAGGUAAGGCAGGGGCAGCACAAACACAAAACAAAAACAACAAACAAACAACCCCCCCC